AUACUGCUGUGCCUCCAGAUUAAAGGUUUUUUUUCCCCUUUGAUCCAGUCUUGUAGCCAGUUCAGCUUUCAGAGGGAGCCAGAAGAGAUUUGUAGAGUUUGGCAGUAGUGUCGUUCCUGAGGAAGACUGGAGAAAGAAAACUCAGAAUCACGGCUAUGAACAGCUCUUUAGAAAUGAAUGGCUAACUCGAGGAAGUCUUGCACACUUGCAGUGCCGUGACGUUCUGCCAUCCGGAGGGGAAUUAAUCGCUGAGUAGCAUGAAGACUGCACAGCACAGACAACAGGCAUGGUCCAGACCUCAAGGGACUAAUUAUGUUCUUAAAGGGCUGCCCAUCCUGCUUCCCAGCAAGACCUCAGCUGUGUGUGUACCAGGAAAGCAAAUAAGAAAGAUCUUCACAAAAAAGCUCUAAGAAUGUAAAACUGAUACCUGGAGAUACAGGUAAGUGGCAUACUUUUUUCCUCCCCCAUUUUGCAUCUUGCACUAUAUAUGCAUCAGAUUUAAAGGCAAGUAGUGUCUCUCUUUAUCAAACAGGCUUGAUGAAAGAACAAUCAUGUACAUUCAGUUAUAUCUCUGCUAAACGUAUCCAUUUUUAUUGCUUUCCAGUAGUUCAAAGCAUUAGCAUAAAACAAUCAAGGAGGUUGUUUUUCCUAAGAGAGAGAGUGCCUGUUUACAAACUCAUUUUAUUUUCACAAUACUCCAUUGUUAUUUAUUUCAGACAGAAAGCUGUCAGAUUAAUGCAUUCCCUCAUGCAGGACAGCUUGCUUUAUUGCCCGUUAUUAAGAUAUAACAUAUAUAACCUGACAAGCACUGCCCACGUCUGCAAUCCACCAGUGAAAGGCAAAUUAAGUAGAAAAUGGAGAUCUCCAAUAUUUCUUGGGGCUCAAGUGAUAUUAGUUUUUAACUCAUUUUGUAUUCAGAGGGGAUUCUGCCUGUUCACAAUAUAUCUGACAGAGUAAACUGCCCAAAGAAGGCUUUUUUGAUUCACAGAACAGCUACAUCUGAGAAACUGCUUUCAGAGCCACAGGAGUCAAUUCCCCGUGCGUAAAUGUGUGCCAACAAAGAAGGAGAAAAAAAAAACAACAACCCGACAAAUUAGUUGGGUGGUGCAAGAAACCAGUUAGAAAGUAACUCCUGGAGGCGGAGUGGUGCAAGGACUGAAUUCCUGAACUUGCUGAGUGACAGAAACUGCUCUGGAGAAGUCAACAAGAGCAAAUGAAAAUGCAUCAUCACAAGACUGAAUUAAGAGUGAAGGAAAACACUGUUGGUAAAAUGCUGGAUAGACUGAAGAUAUUCAAGGUUGAUGGACCAGAGCCUCUUGCAUCCAUACCUGUGACAGAUGAAAAAGGAGCUGCGUUCAGUCAAAAGCCUCAAGGAAGAGCAAUAUCAGCUUCUCUUCUGGUCUUAGAUCCAGUGCACACACCUGGCAGAGUUCUACAAACUUGACAAGCAGGGAUAAAAGAUGACGCCCCUAAAUGCUUUACUUGGGUAAAAUUAACCAGAAGGAUCAAAAUUGGAGCUUAUUGGUAUGUUUUUAGUAGAGAAUCCUGAGAAUGUUGUGGGAGACAAAGCAUGCAGUUUGGAACUGUACGCUGGAUUCCUUUUGUUUGGCUACCUCCUGUGAAACCAGGUAAGUUUUCAACAUUCAUUUCUUGACAGCACAUCCCAGAAAAAUGCAUAGUCACAUCUUCAGAUAAACUUUUAUACAGGUAAGUGUCACAUGAGGGCUCCAGCUGUACACUGAUUAAGAACAUUCUCAGCAAUUCUCAUAAGCAUAAAUGAUGUAUUUAAAUACUUGUAUGUUUGUGCACUGAUCAGCUCUGGAAUUGAUGUAGCAAUGUAACUUUUAAGAGAGGGAGCAAGUCCCACAGAAGAAAGAAGAAAAAGGUUUAAGAAUAUCAAUUUCAUGCCUGCUACUAAAAAAAUCUACUUAGCCAGCAAUGGAAAGCAUCAGUGUACCAUUAAUGGUGAAAGGACUAUGGUUUGUGAGACACAGUUUGAAUAUGAUUUUAAUGUACAAAAAUGAGACAGUUAAGAAAUGUGCAAGGCAGGAAGUUUAGAGGAUGCAAACAGAUGAGGUAAGGAAUGGAGUAUUGCUUCCAGAUUCUCCCAUAGUUGAUUUUUUUUAAUUUUUU